AUACGUAGGGUGCGAGCGUUGUCCGGAAUUACUGGGCGUAAAGAGCUCGUAGGUGGUUUGUCGCGUCGUCUGUGAAAUUCCGGGGCUUAACUCCGGGCGUGCAGGCGAUACGGGCAUAACUUGAGUACUGUAGGGGAGACUGGAAUUCCUGGUGUAGCGGUGAAAUGCGCAGAUAUCAGGAGGAACACCGGGGGAGAAGGGGGGUCCCUGGGCAAUAACUGCCGCUGAGGUGCGAAAGCAUGGGGAGCGAACAGGUUUUGAUCCCCUGGUGGUCCAUGCCGUAAACGGUGGGCGAUGGGUGGAGGGGUCUUCUACGACUUGUGUGCCGUAGCUAACGCGUUAAGCGCCCCGCCUGGGGAGUACGGCCGCAAGGCUAAAACUCAAAGGAAUUGACGGGG
rnacentral:rRNA from 1 species